GGGCUAUUAGCUCAGGUGGUUAGAGCGCACGACUGAUAAUCGUGAGGUGCCUGGUUCGAAUCCAGGAUGGCCCA
rnacentral:tRNA from 1 species